rnacentral:lncRNA from 1 species
UUAAGAUACAGAGCAACCACAAACUAUUUUUUGCAAGCAUUUCAUCUUCUUUGUGUUUAGCUGAUUUUUUCCCAUAGUGAAUUAUAAAACCAUGCUCCCAGAAAUACAAGUUAUACAAAUCAUAUGGCUCUCCUAAUGAAUCAAAUGGAUGAAAAGCUCAAGAACAUGGUCACCCAACUUGGGGGGUGUACCCUGAUUGUCUCUUCUCAAGUGCACAACCCUCUCCGGACACCGGGUCCUAUCCGGUGGAUGACUCUCCCUACUCCAGUCCUGCACAAUCAAUGACGUGUAGAACAAUUCACUUCACAUCCC